rnacentral:rRNA from 1 species
AGUGAACGCUGGCGGUAGGCCUAACACAUGCAAGUCGAACGGCAGCACAGUAAGAGCUUGCCCUUACGGGUGGCGAGUGGCGGACGGGUGAGGCAUACAUCGGAAUCUACUUUUUCGUGGGGGACAACGUAGGGAAACUUACGCUAAUACCGCAUAUGAUCUACGGGUGAAAGCAGGGGAUCUUCGCACCUUGCGCGACUGAUUUAGCCGAUGUCGGAUUAGCUAGUUGGCGGGGUAAAGGCCCACCAAGGCAACGAUCCGUAGCUGGUCUGAGAGGAUGAUCGGCCACACUGGAACUGAGACACGGUCCAGACUCCUACGGGAGGCAGCAGUGGGGAAUAUUGCGCAAUGGGCGCAAGCCUGAUCCAGCCAUACCGCGUGAGUGAAGAAGGCCUUCGGGUUGUAAAGCCCUUUUAUUGGGAAAGAAAAGCAGCGGAUUAAUACCCCGCUGUUCUGACGGUACCCAAAGAAUAAGCACCGGCUAACUUCGUG